CUGCCUGAAGGGGCAGCUGGCAGAGAGGGACAAGCUGGUGCCUGGCACCAGCAGGCCAUGGUCUGCGUAUCUGUUAUCUGCAGCAGACAGUCCCACACUCUGCCUCGCCCCGUGGAGCAGCUCUGCAGGCUGGGAGAGGACCCAGCGCGGUCCCAGGUCUGGGACAAGAUCUGGGACCAGCCCUGCAGAGUGGCAAUUCGAUGGCGGCUGCCCACCUUCGCAGGGGUCCUGACCGCUGCCUCCAGCUCAAUCCCAGGCCCUGAGAGCAGCUGCUGGGCAAGAGUCUGUGUCUGUAUGAGGGUGGCUGCUGGGCGGGGCGGGGUGGGGCAGCGAGGCAGCAAAUUGCAAGGUCUGAGUAUGAGCCAAGAGGGUCUGAGCAGUGUCUGCAGCCUCUGGUAUGAACGGUGAGGGACAGCUUGGGCCACCUUCUAAGGCCAGUGUGGGUCUGACGGGCCAGGAGCUCCGCUCCCAGCCCAGUACCAGGCACAGAGCCGGCUGGGCAUUGUUUGGGGCCGGCCACCCUGCCCCUCAGUGAGGCUCUUCCGGGGCCAGUACCUGCGGGCCCCAAGUUCCGAUUUCCGGGGCUGGGUUUACACAGCCCUGCAGUGGUUUUGGGGGGGGUGGCAGCCAGGACCUCCCGGGUAAGGACGGGGACUUGCGCUGUGUCAUCUCUCUACCAGGCCUGGGCCCCCAAAACCGCUUCUCUGUGCCCUGCUCCCUGGAAGCGGGGGCUGUGUGAACUAGCGUGGGUCUGAGUGUGCAGCGAGGGACACACUCGCACGCCCAGUGCUGGUGCGCACCUGCAGCGGUCUGCUCGCGCCUGCGCAGCCCCGACCUUCAGGCCUGGCCGCUGCCUUGCCCGCUGCGGCCGACAGAGGGCGCCAGGGGACAGGGCUGAGCUCGGUGCUCCGAGGAGAUCGAUGGUUAGAGCCUUCUCCGUGGACGGCGGGCGUGACAGCAGGGCACAGUCUCUCCUGGUGGCGUUGGGGUGGACGCCGGGAGAGGCCUGCCCUGGCCCUUUGCCUUCUCACGGGCUGGUGGAGUACAGGACGGGUGUGGGGUGUUUCCGGGCCCACGUGUAGCCAGAGGAUCCCUCCCCUCCUCUCUGGGGUCACUUCGGUGCCCCUCCUGUGGUCCAGCAGGGCUUGGACACGUGUUUCUGCUCCUGCUGUACAGAGAAGGUGAGAAAGCUGCAGCCAACUUCGGCAGGAAUCGCCCACUGUGGAGGCCUUGGUCUGUUCCUGGGAAGCGAGGCUUCUUGGAAGGCAUGGCUGCUGCAGGCUCCUGAGACACAAGAAGCCAGGCAACGCCAGGGUGGUGGCCGAGUCCUGCAGCGCCUCACUGCCUCGCACUCCGUCCACCCCGCAGGACUUCACAUGAAGACUGGCAUGGAUAAACAUCUGGGACUGACACUCUAACAGGAAUCCAUCACCUUGAGGAAGCCAGGAAGAGCACUGACCCAGCUCCCUACAGGAAGAGUUGCUGGUCUUUCACGCCUUCUUGCUGCCUGACUUGCUUCCCCAUUCGAUCCCCAUUUAAUCAGUUUUACCUGAGCAGUUAUGUUUGCAAUCUUAUCUAUUAACCAUAGUUUUGUCCCACCUCCUGCCCACCUUGCAAUUUCCCAUUUUUCCCCACCUUUGACCCACCUCACCUCAUGGGUUUGCUCUAUAAAAAUCCCUACAAAGGCUGGGUCCUUGGCAUCCUGCUCGGGACUCCUUCUGACUCUCUCUUGGACAAAAGCUUUCUUUCCCCCAAUCAAUAUAUUCUAAAAUUCACUCUUCAAUUUUAGAGAACACGAACUCGUACCA